rnacentral:rRNA from 1 species
GAAAUUUAAGGGCGUACGGUGGAUGCCUUGACUUUAAGAAGCGAUGAAGGACGUGGCGUUGCUGCGAUAAGCUUCGGGGAGGUGCUUAGCAACCUUUGAUCCGGAGAUUUCCGAAUGGGGAAACCCUAUCAAGUAAACCUUGAUAACCCAGCCCCACUUUUCUAACGAAUUUUAUUUUUUUACUUUACUUUAAUUUGCAAGAUUUUAGUUUAGUAAUUUAAUGAACUUGGUUAAAAAAGUGGGGCUGGGAGCAUACCCUGGGAAGUGAAACAUCUCAGUACCAGGAGGAAUAGAGACAAAUAUGUAUUUCCUUAGUAGCGGCGAGCGAAAAGGAAGAAGCCCAAACCCAGCACCACUUUUGACGGAAUUUUAACGUGGUAAUUUAAAGAAAUAUUAUUUACUGAUCUUUAAGUUAUUAUUGAGAGAUUGUUUCAAAAGUGGUGCUGGGGGUUGUAAGGUAACAAUGUAGAUUUCUAGAAGAGUCAAAAAAUAAGUUAUUAGUUGAAGCUGCUGGAAAGCGGCACCAUAGGGGGUGAUAGUCCCGUAAACGAAAAUAAUUUAUCUCUUUUAUUGUUAUUCUUGAGUACCCCAGGACAUGAAUGGCCGGGGGGAAUCCAGCGGAACUAACCGCUAAGGCUAAAUAUUCUUAAAGAUCGAUAGUGAACUAGUACCGUGAGGGAAAGGUGAAAAGCAGCCCGAUUAGGGCGGUGAAAUAGACCUGAAACCGUAUGUCUACAAGGAGUUGGAGCAGGUAUUUAUAUCUGCAACAGCGUGCCUAUUGAAGAAUGAGCCAACGAGUUUAUGCAUACUGCUUGCCCCCACACUUAUUUUCACAAAGCGCUAAAAGCGCGCAACAAAAGUUGCAUUGUGAGAAUAAGUGUGGGGGCGAGGCUAAGUGGACUAAAACCAUGGAGCCAAAGGGAAACCGAGUGUUAAUAGCGCGCAAUUGGUAGAAUGCAUAAGACCCGAAGCCAGGUGAGCUUGCCAUGAGCAGGUUGAAGUAGGUCGAAAGACCUAUGGAGGACCGAACCGGUAGAUCGUACAACGUCUUCGGAUGACUUGUGGUAAGGAGUGAAAAGCUAAUCGAACCUGGUAAUAGCUGGUUCUCUCCG